rnacentral:rRNA from 1 species
CACGUAGGCACCAAGCGUUGUCCGGAUUUAUUGGGCGUAAAGAGCUCGUAGGCGGUUCAGUAAGUCGGGUGUGAAAACUUUGGGCUUAACCCAAAGCGUGCAUCCGAUACUGCUGUGACUUGAGUUCGGUAGGGGAGUGGGGAAUUCCUAGUGUAGCGGUGAAAUGCGCAGAUAUUAGGAGGAACACCGGUGGCGAAGGCGCCACUCUGGGCCGAAACUGAC